AGAGUUUGAUCCUGGCUCAGGACGAACGCUUGCGGCGUGCCUAAGAAAUGCAAGUCGAGCGAGGUUUAGGCUUCGGCCGACGACCUAGCGGCGAACGGUCGCGUAACACGUAAGCAACCUGCCCUAAAGUUGGGGAUAGCCCGCCGAAAGGCGGAUUAAUACCGAAUGUGGAUAUGUAUUCGCAUGUAUAUAUAUCUGAAGCAGCGAUGCGCUUUAGGAUGGGCUUGCGGCCUAUCAGUUAGUUGGUGUGGGUAACGGCCUACCAAGACGACGACGGGUAGCUGGUCUGAGAGGAUGGUCAGCCGGAUUGGGACUGAGACACGGCCCAGACUCCUACGGGAGGCAGCAGUGGGGGAUUUUGCACAAUGGGCGCAAGCUUGAUGCAGCGACGCCGCGUGAGGGAUGAGGGCCUUCGGGUUGUAAACCUCUUUCGCUGGGUUGAAAGGCCAUGCUUUGGGUGUGGUUGAUUUGAACUGGUAAAGAAGUACCGGCUAACUACGUGCCAGCCGCCGCGGUAAUAC
rnacentral:rRNA from 1 species